AUGAGUUAUCAGCGUGGGGAAGAGGUUUGAAUGCAUGAAUUUCCAAAAGGAACGAAUGUUUUGCUCGAACAUCCAAUGCACAAGAUGUGGUGGAAUUGUGCAGCUAACCUUCACUGAUUCGUUCGACCGAUAUAUCGCGACCACGUCGUUGUACUUUCCGCUUUGACAGUCGGCAAGAAACCCAGCCCGGGUUCCUUGGCAAUAUUCCUGCAACCUGUCAGCGGGUUCUGUUCUUUCCCUUCCUCUUCUUUUCUUUUCUUUCCCUUGACCAGUUCUCCAGGUGCAUGUCACACAAAAAAACGAAGAA
rnacentral:sRNA from 1 species